CUUACUAAGCUUCAGUACAACAAAGGAGAGAUCCGGCCUGAUAUGGGUAAUGAUCAAGGGGAGAAGUCACUUUGGGGAGAUAUGAACAAGCAAAUUCCUGUAACAAGUUUAAGGUGAAAGAGUUUAGCUUGAUUUGACUUCCCAAAUCUGUGCUCAAGACUCUCCCAAAGUUCCUUGGCUGUCUUUGAGAAAAGCACUCUAUCCUUGAUUUCUUUAAAUAAUGAGUUCAACAACCAUGCAGUGACCAUAUCAUUGCAACAACUCCACUGCUUAUAAUCAUUGGAGUUCAGAUCUGGAGCUUCAAGGUGUCCAUUAAUGAACUCCAACUUUUUCUUUCUUUGACAGAGAAAUUAUCACAAAUCUCCUCCAGCUUGGAAACCUUUGCCAUCAAAAACAAGACUGACAAGGUUUAUUCUAAGGGAGUCUGAAGGAUGGAGAUGAUAGAGGUUGUUGGAAUUUACCGUAGCCACAUUUGUGUUCUGAUUAAUAGUGGUAUUUUCAGUUUGUUCAUUAAUUCAUGUUGAAUAAUCAAGAAAAGAUGACAGAGGAGAUUGAUUUUGAUGUUUGAAAUGGUGAUUUGGAUCAAGCCUGCUGCUCUGAUACCAUAUUGGAAAAUGAAGAAUGAUAAUUGGGAAAUUUUCUAUGUGUAUUGAAUCUCAACAUUUACAUGUAUUUAUACAAGCCUAUUCUAGGGAUUGAAAAUGAAAAUGUAAAUAAAGUAAAUUAUUAACAAACUACAGCUAUACUAACAGUUGUACUAUCUAAUUUCGUAUUUUAGUACACCUGUGUAUUCUAGAAGGAAUUCUCAUUGGAUUCCAUUUAUAUACACUUAUAUUUCUACGUUU